rnacentral:rRNA from 1 species
AGCGAACGCUGGCGGCAGGCUUAACACAUGCAAGUCGAGCGGGCCCUUCGGGGUCAGCGGCAGACGGGUGAGUAACGCGGGGGAACGUGCCAUUCGGUUCGGAAUAACUCAGGGAAACUUGAGCUACUACCGGAUACGCCCUUAUUGGGGAAGGCUUGCUGCGGAAGGAUCGGCCCGCGUCUGAUUCGCUAGUUGGUGAGGUUAUGGCUCACCAAGGCGACGAUCAGUAGCUGGUCUGAGAGGAUGAUCAGCCACACUGGGACUGGGACACGGCCCAGACUCCUACGGGAGGCAGGAGUGGGGAAUAUUGGAAAGUGGGGGCAACCCUGAACCAGCCAGGCCGCGUGAGUGAUGACGGCCUUAGGGUUGUAAAGCUCUUUUCUCCGGGACGAUAAUGACGGUACCGGAGGAAUAAGCCCCGGCUAACUUCGUG